AUUGAACGCUGGCGGCAUGCCUUACACAUGCAAGUCGAACGGCAGCACGGGGCAACCUGGUGGCGAGUGGCGAACGGGUGAGUAAUGCAUCGGAACGUACCUUUCAGUGGGGGAUAACGUAGCGAAAGUUACGCUAAUACCGCAUAUUCUGUGAGCAGGAAAGCAGGGGAUCGCAAGACCUUUCGCUGAUUGAGCGGCCGAUGUCAGAUUAGCUAGUUGGUGAGGUAAAGGCUCACCAAGGCGACGAUCUGUAGCGGGUCUGUGAGGAUGAUCACCCACACUGGAACUGAGACACGGUCCAGACUCCUACGGGAGGCAGCAGUUGGGAAUUUUGGACAAAGGGGGCAACCCUGAUCCAGCCAUGCCGGGUGAGUGAAGAAGGCCUUCGGGUUGUAAAGCUCUUUCGGCCGGGAAGAAAUCGCACGGGCUAAUACCCUGUGUGGAUGACGGUACCGGAAUAAGAAGCACCGGCUAACUACGUGCCAGCCGCCGCCGUAAGAC
rnacentral:rRNA from 1 species